rnacentral:miRNA from 8 species
CUCCUGGGGCCCACACUCGCGC